rnacentral:ncRNA from 1 species
GACCCCUUUUAAUCCCGUAGACACAGAGGUCUGGUCCUAGCCUUAAAAUCAACUAUUGUUAAACUUACACAUGCAAGUUUCCGCAUACCUGUGAAAACGCCCCCACCCUCUUAUCGAAUCAAGGAGCUGAUAUCAGGCUCAACAAAAGCCCAUAACAUCUAGUUUCACCACACCCUCACGGGCCCUCAGCAGUGAUUAACAUUGAACAUACACGCAAGAUUGAUUCAGUUAAACAAACAGGGCCGGCAAAUUUGGUGCCAGCCGCCGCGGUUACACCAAAAGGCCCAAGUUGAUUUUUCACCGGCGUAAAGCGUGAUUAAAGUCAUCCAUAAUUAGAAUUAAAUUUUUGCCAAGCUGUAAUAUGCUUCCACCUAAUAAACUCAAAUACGAAGGCUAUUCUAUUUUUACUUGAACUCACGACAACUGGGGCCCAAACUGGAAUUAGAUACUCCACUAUGCCCAGUCGUAAACUAUUACUUACUUUUACACCGCCCGGGUACUACGAGCAAAGCUUAAAACCCAAAGGACUUGACGGUACCCCAAACCCCCCUAGAGGAGCCUGUCCUAUAAUUGAUACCCCCCGCUCUACCUCACCACUUUUAGCCUAUUCAGCCUGUAUACUUCCGUCGCCAGCUUACCGCAUGAGCGUAACAAAGUAAGCCUAAUGGACUCACCAAAACGUCAGGUCAAAGUGCAGCAAAUAAAUUGGGAAGAGAUUGGCUACACUUUUUAACUUUAAAAGAAACGAAAAAUUAUGUGAAACCAUAGUCUAAAGGCGGAUUUAGUAGUAAAGAAGAAACAGAGUGUUUUAUUUAAUCCGGCACUGGGGUGUGUACACACCGCCCGUCACCCUCCUCAAAUUUUUUACUUAAGUCAGUAACACCUGCACCAGAACAGAGGAGGUAAGUCGUAACAUGGUAAGCUUACCGGAAGGUGCGCUUGGAAACGACUCAU